GACGAACGCUUGGCGGCGCGCCUAAUGCAUGCAAGUCGUACGGAUCAUGCUGGCUUCGGUCAGUAUGGUCAGUGGCAGACGGCUGAGUAACGCGUAAGCAACCUACCCAUUGGUGGGGGAUAACUCGGAGAAAUCCGGGCUAAUACCGCAUGUGACUGUCCGCCAUAAGGUGGGCAAUCAAAGCCUUCGGGCGCCAGUGGACGGGCUUGCGUCCCAUCAGGUAGUUGGUGAGGUAACGGCUCACCAAGCCAACGACGGGUAGCCGGUGUGAGAGCACGACCGGCCAGAGGGGGACUGAGACACGGCCCCCACUCCUAUGGGAGGCAGCAGCAGGGAAUCUUGCGCAAUGGGCGAAAGCCUGACGCAGCGACGCCGCGUGGAGGAAGAAGGCCUGCGGGUUGUAAACUCCUUUUCUGGGGGAAGACAUCCGACGGUACCUCAGGAAUAAGCCUCGGCUAACUACGUGCCAGCAGCCGCGGUAAUACGUAGGAGGCGAGCGUUGUCCGGAUUUACUGGGCGUAAGGGGAGCCCAGGUGGCCGGGUUCGUCUUUGGUGCAAGCUCCAGACUCAACCUGGAAAGGUCUGCCGAUACUACCCGC
rnacentral:rRNA from 1 species